rnacentral:rRNA from 1 species
AACGAACGCUGGCGGCAUGCCUAACACAUGCAAGUCGAACGAAGGCUUCGGCCUUAGUGGCGCACGGGUGCGUAACGCGUGGGAAUCUGCCCUUUGGUUCGGAAUAACAGCUGGAAACGGCUGCUAAUACCGGAUGAUUACGAAAGUCCAAAGAUUUAUCGCCAGAGGAUGAGCCCGCGUUGGAUUAGGUAGUUGGUGUGGUAAAGGCCUACCACGCCGACGAUCCAUAGCUGGUCUGAGAGGAAGAUCAGCCACACUGGGACUGAGACACGGCCCAGAAUACUACGGGAGGCAGCAGUGGGGAAUAUUGGAAAACGGGCGCAAGGCUGAACCAGCAAGGCCGCGUGAGUGAUGAAGGCCCUAGGGUUGUAAAGCUCUUUUACCCGGGAAGAUAAUGACGGUGCCGGGAGAAUAAGCCCCGGCUAACUCCGUG